AGGAAAAGAAAUCAACCGAGAUUCCCCCAGUAGCGGCGAGCGAACGGGGAGCAGCCCAGAGCCUGAAUCAGUAUGUGUGUUAGUGGAAGCGUCUGGAAAGGCGCGCGAUACAGGGUGACAGCCCCGUACACAAAAAUGCACAUGCUGUGAGCUCGAUGAGUAGGGCGGGACACGUGGUAUCCUGUCUGAAUAUGGGGGGACCAUCCUCCAAGGCUAAAUACUCCUGACUGACCGAUAGUGAACCAGUACCGUGAGGGAAAGGCGAAAAGAACCCCGGCGAGGGGAGUGAAAAAGAACCUGAAACCGUGUACGUACAAGCAGUGGGAGCACGCUUAGGCGUGUGACUGCGUACCUUUUGUAUAAUGGGUCAGCGACUUAUAUUCUGUAGCAAGGUUAACCGAAUAGGGGAGCCGAAGGGAAACCGAGUCUUAACUGGGCGUUAAGUUGCAGGGUAUAGACCCGAAACCCGGUGAUCUAGCCAUGGGCAGGUUGAAGGUUGGGUAACACUAACUGGAGGACCGAACCGACUAAUGUUGAAAAAUUAGCGGAUGACUUGUGGCUGGGGGUGAAAGGCCAAUCAAACCGGGAGAUAGCUGGUUCUCCCCGAAAGCUAUUUAGGUAGCGCCUCGUGAAUUCAUCUCCGGGGGUAGAGCACUGUUUCGGCAAGGGGGUCAUCCCGACUUACCAACCCGAUGCAAACUGCGAAUACCGGAGAAUGUUAUCACGGGAGACACACGGCGGGUGCUAACGUCCGUCGUGAAGAGGGAAACAACCCAGACCGCCAGCUAAGGUCCCAAAGUCAUGGUUAAGUGGGAAACGAUGUGGGAAGGCCCAGACAGCCAGGAUGUUGGCUUAGAAGCAGCCAUCAUUUAAAGAAAGCGUAAUAGCUCACUGGUCGAGUCGGCCUGCGCGGAAGAUGUAACGGGGCUAAACCAUGCACCGAAGCUGCGGCAGCGACGCUUAUGCGUUGUUGGGUAGGGGAGCGUUC
rnacentral:rRNA from 1 species